GAUGAACGCUAGCGGCAGGCUUAAUACAUGCAAGUCGAGGGGUAGCAAGAUUGUAGCAAUACAAUUGUUGACGACCGGCAAACGGGUGCGGAACACGUACACAACCUUCCUACAAGUGGGGAAUAGCCCAGAGAAAUUGGAUUAAUACCCCGUAACAUAGCGAUGUGGCAUCACAUUGCUAUUAUAGCUUCGGCGCUUGUUGAUGGGUGCGCGGCUGAUUAGAUAGUUGGCGGGGUAACGGCCCACCAAGUCUACGAUCAGUAGCUGAUGUGAGAGCAUGAUCAGCCACACGGGCACUGAGACACGGGCCCGACUCCUACGGGAGGCAGCAGUAAGGAAUAUUGGACAAUGGAGGCAAGUCUGAUCCAGCCAUGCCGCGUGAAGGAUUAAGGUCCUCUGGACUGUAAACUUCUUUUAUAAGGGACGAAAAAAGGUCUUUCUAGAUCGUCUGACGGUACCUUAUGAAUAAGCACCGGCUAACUCCGUGCCAGCCGCCGCCGUAAUAC
rnacentral:rRNA from 1 species